rnacentral:tRNA from 1 species
GCUGAUAUAGCUCUGAGUGGGAAGAGCACACUCUUGGUAUGAGUGAGGUUGGCAGUUCGAAUCUGCCUAUCAGCA